rnacentral:rRNA from 1 species
UACAGAGGUCUCAAGCGUUGUUCGGAUUCAUUGGGCGUAAGGGUGUGUAGGUGGCGCGCUAAGUCGGGUGUGAAAUUUCGGAGCUUAACUCCGAAACUGCAUUCGAUACUGGCGUGCUUGAGGACUGGAGAGGAGACUGGAAUUCAUGGUGUAGCAGUGAAAUGCGUAGAGAUCAUGAGGAAGACCAGUGGCGAAGGCGGGUCUCUGGACAGUUCCUGACACUGAGACACGAAGGCCAGGGGAGCAAACGGG